CCUGCUCCUAGAGGCAUUUCAUGUGUGGCCGCUGUGUCACAUGUGCACCAUUAGGUGGGACAGAGAAGAAACGCGAUGUCUACACUCAGUGUUCUGACCAAGGAACAUCUGAAUGAUUAGUAGUCUAAAAUU